GGACCAGGGUAAUGAUUAAUAGGGAUAGUUGGGGGCAUUAAUAUUUAAUUGUCAGAGGUGAAAUUCUUGGAUUUAUGAAAGAUUAACUUCUGCGAAAGCAUCUGCCAAGGAUGUUUUCAUUAAUCAAGAACGAAAGUUAG
rnacentral:rRNA from 1 species